UCUAACGUCUCGCCUACCACGUCUCUGCAGCCUGCGCCGCCCCUCUUCCCUCCGCCUCUUACCCGGCGAGAGCCGCCGCCCUUGGCCGAGUGAACAGGCAACAGGGGCUGAGCCUCCUCCAUUACUUACCGCUCGUCCGUCCUUGCUGCUUUGCCGCCGCCGCCGCCGCUUCUCCAGCGCCCCAAAUCCCUGCCCGUGCGACCUUCCGCCGCCGCCCAGCCACUAAUUUGUGCUUUGGCUCCUCCUCCACCAUCCUAUACGGCCUGGAGAAUCGAAGUCCAUUCAGACCCAGUUAUCCCGGAUGAUGUUGUCUCAAAGCCAGCGAAAAGCAGCAGGAAGAUCAAAUUCAGUGCAAAAUUCUCGCUCAUUGCAGGCUUCUCCUCUGUAAGUACAUCGAUCAGGAGAUCGAUGAAGUCAACUCUUUCCUGUCGAGCUGCCUUCUUUCUUUCAUCGAGAAGUUUGUUUAGUAUCUUCAUGACCUCCUUUCGCCCCUAGGAUCGAUAUAUAGAACAAGUUUGUUUAGUCAACUGUCCCCGUACGUACAUGUUGUUUGUGAAAUACAAAUAUGUAUAUCAGGAUUACCUGCAUACAUUUGUAGAAUGCUGUGCCAGGAAUGUAAAGUGGAAAUGCCAGUAGUCCCUGAA